rnacentral:misc_RNA from 1 species
GAUGAAGAACGCAGCGAAAUGCGAUAAGUAAUGUGAAUUGCAGAAUUCAGUGAAUCAUCGAAUCUUUGAACGCACCUUGCACCCUUUGGCAUUCCGAAGGGUAUGCUCGUUUGAGUGUCAUUGUACUCUCACACUCCCAAUUGCUUUGGAUUGGGAGCGGUGGACUUGGGUGUUGCUGCUUGACUGAGGCUCACCUGAAAUAUGUUAGUGCACCUCUUGAUUGGACAUAGUACGGCGUGAUAAGUGUCUUCGCCGGCUCCUCGCAAAGAGGGUGGCCGAUCGGGAGCUCUGUUGCUUCAAACUGUCUUCGGACAAUCUUCUGGCGACUUGACCUCAAAUCGAGUCGGACUACCCGCUGAACUUAAGCAUAUCAAUAAGCGGAGGA